rnacentral:snoRNA from 1 species
AAGUAGCAUCUUUGAACCUGUGAUGCCCUACCUGUGGCUUCUUAGGCCAAGCUUAUUGGUACAGCAACCUUUUGCUUGUUUAUAACUGGAGCUUCCUGACAACCCCUCCAGGUCUCUCUUUUUUCCCCUCCAAAGCAACUUUCACUU